rnacentral:rRNA from 1 species
GACGAACGCUGGCGGCGUGCUUAACACAUGCAAGUCGAACGGAAAGGCCCUGCUUUUGUGGGGUGCUCGAGUGGCGAACGGGUGAGUAACACGUGAGUAACCUGCCCUUGACUUUGGGAUAACUUCAGGAAACUGGGGCUAAUACCGGAUAGGAGCUCCUGCUGCAUGGUGGGGGGUGGAAAGUUUCGGCGGUUGGGGAUGGACUCGCGGCUUAUCAGCUUGUUGGUGGGGUAGUGGCUUACCAAGGCUUUGACGGGUAGCCGGCCUGAGAGGGUGACCGGCCACAUUGGGACUGAGAUACGGACCAGACUCCUACGGGAGGCAGAAGUGGGGAAUAUUGCACAAUGGGCGGAAGCCUGAUGCAGCAACGCCGCGUGCGGGAUGACGGCCUUCGGGUUGUAAACCGCUUUCGCCUGUGACGAAGCGUGAGUGACGGUAAUGGGUAAAGAAGCACCGGCUAACUACGUG